CAGCCGCCGCGGGAAUACGUAGGUGGCAAGCGUUGUCCGGAAUUAUUGGGCGUAAAGGGCUCGCAGGCGGUUUCUUAAGUCUGAUGUGAAAGCCCCCGGCUCAACCGGGGAGGGUCAAUGGAAACUGGGAAACUUGAGUGCAGAAGAGGAGAGUGGAAUUCCACGUGUAGCGGUGAAAUGCGUAGAGAUGUGGAGGAACACCAGUGGCGAAGGCGACUCUCUGGUCUGUAACUGACGCUGAGGAGCGAAUGCGUGGGGAGCGAACAGGAUUAGAUACCCCGGUAGUCCCUGUCUCUUAUAC
rnacentral:rRNA from 1 species